AGAGUUUGAUCAUGGCUCAGGAUGAACGCUAGCUACAGGCUUAACACAUGCAAGUCGAGGGGAAACGACCUCGAAAGCUUGCUUUUGAUGGGCGUCGACCGGCGCACGGGUGAGUAACGCGUAUCCAACCUGCCCACCACUUGGGGAUAACCUUGCGAAAGUAAGACUAAUACCCAAUGACGUCUCUAGAAGACAUCUGAAAGAGAUUAAAGAUUUAUCGGUGAUGGAUGGGGAUGCGUCUGAUUAGCUUGUUGGCGGGGUAACGGCCACCAAGGCGACGAUCAGUAGGGGUUCUGGAGAGGAAGGUCCCCCANAUUGGAACUGAGACACGGUCCAAACUCCUAACGGGAGCA
rnacentral:rRNA from 1 species